rnacentral:lncRNA from 1 species
GGGGGGUAGGAUGAUCAAUUGUUUUUGCUUCUGUUUAUAAUGCAUUAUUAGUUACUAGGGGAGGCUAGGGAUAACAAGCCAAUAAUUAAUAAUAGGCUCUUUUCACCGAGGGACCGGGUUAAGGGUAGACUAAGAAAGUUUGCAUGACAAUUAGAUAACAAAGCAAAUCAAAUAAGAGGAGUAGAUAAGAGAGAGUGGAUAAGAUGAAAUUGUAAACCCCAACAACUCCAUUCAUCCAUAGUCUUUUUCUCGUCAAUUGAAUCAAUCGCAUUUGCAUGUUUAUUUGUUGUUUCUUGCAUCCAAACCAAUUAAUUUCUCUUUGCAAGUCUUACGAUUUCACUUUACACAAACGAUAAGGCCUUUGAGUUCCUUGGGAAGAACGAUAUUGGGUUUACCAAUUAUAUUAUUUGAAACGAUCUGGUACACUUCCCAGAGUGUCAACAAUAACAUAUGAAGUUUAAUGUAUCUUGAAUGAAUUCUUGAUUUCUUGAUCACCAAUGAAGCUUCAAAUCCUCCAAGAAUACUUCUUGAGAAAACCUAUACUUAAAACUCAAAGAGAAUAUU